GGAUGCGCUUGACUUCAUGGGACCCAAUGGAAAAACAAAAGCAUGUGCGGCGCACAAAUCCCACGCGGUCCACAAGACAGGGGAGCGGUUCAUAGCAACACCGUGCGACUUUUGGCGCGGUCUACAUGAAAUUCGAUGGAGUCCACCUAGCAGAAAAAAAAAGAGUGCAUGACUUUUGGGCUUCCACGGGCUUCCAUGGGCACGCACGUGGGGGC
rnacentral:lncRNA from 1 species